GCACUUAUAACAAUCACAAGGGCAGCACGAGGUUUCAGGCAGACAUAAACAUGCAAAACAUUAACGAAAUAGUAAAAUCACUAAUUCUGUCCCAAAAUACAUUACUCGUAACAGCAGGGUAGUCUCUGAUUGGCAUAAAUUUGUUGUAAUAUCGAAAAAUUCAGCUUUGAAUUAGGCAUAACUUAGAGAAGGUAACUGUUGUUUGACAUACAUGAUAGCAAUAUAAAAAUAAGGAACUUUGGCUUCACAGGCAAAACAUAAUAACUGUGCUCACA
rnacentral:lncRNA from 1 species